rnacentral:rRNA from 1 species
UACAGAGGUGGCAAGCGUUGUUCGGAAUUACUGGGCGUAAAGGGCGCGUAGGCGGCCUCCUAAGUCAGACGUGAAAUCCCCCGGCUUAACCUGGGAACUGCGUCUGAUACUGGGAGGCUAGAGUGCGGGAGAGGGAUGCGGAAUUCCAGGUGUAGCGGUGAAAUGCGUAGAUAUCUGGAGGAACACCGGUGGCGAAGGCGGCAUCCUGGACCGACACUGACGCUGAGGCGCGAAAGCUAGGGUAGCGAACGGG